rnacentral:rRNA from 1 species
GCGAAUCGCCCUUCGGGGUGCACCAGGCGCGAAAACUCUACAAUGCAGGCAACUGCGAUAGGGGAACAUCGAGUGGCACCCACCAUGGGUGUCUGUCCAGCCGUCUAAAAAACGGCUGUUAGCAAGGGCCGGGCAAGACCGGUGCCAGCCGCCGCGGUAAUACCGGCGGCUCGAGUGGUGGCCGAUAUUAUUGAGUCUAAAGGGUCCGUAGCCGGCUUUGCAAGUCCCCUGGGAAAUCCAGCGGCUUAACCGUUGGGCUUUCAUGGGAUACUACAUUGCUUGGGACUGGGAGAGGUAGGAGGUACUCAGGGGGUAGGGGUGAAAUCCUGUAAUCCUCUGGGGACCACCGGUGGCGAAGGCGUCCUACCAGAACAGGUCCGACGGUGAGGGACGAAAGCUAGGGGCACGAACCGGAUUAGAUACCCGGGUAGUCCUAGCCGUAAACGAUGCUCGCUAGGCGUCACGGCAGUCGUGAAUUGUCGUGGUGCCGUAGGGAAGCCGUGAAGCGAGCCACUUGGGAAGUACGACCGCAAGGUUGAAACUUAAAGGAAUUGGCGGGGGAGCAC